rnacentral:misc_RNA from 1 species
UUAAGUUCAGCGGGUAUCCCUACCUAAUUCGAGGUCGACGUUUGAAGGUGUGGCCGCGAAGACCACGCUUGCACGGCAGGCGUCGAGCGGACCCACGAGCUGCAUCGCUGCUGCGCUCCAGGCCGCACCGGCACCGCCGAUGGAUUCAAGGGCCGCCGCUCCCGCGAGGGAGGGGCGAUCCCCAACACCAAGCUUGCGCU